CACGAAUAUAAGCAAGCACUGGGUUGAUAAACUUUAUACAGGUUCCAGAUACUAGUCCACUGUUGAAAUACAUCGAAUAGAAAACUUCCAAGAUGGUUGCCAAAAUGAAAGUAGGAAUCACUCUGCUACUUAUUGGAAUGUUAAUCCUUGGAUUAUCAGCCACAAACGACGACAAAGAGUCACCCCUUAUUGGCAGUGAAAAGGCCAACACCUUUCGUCGUGGAAAAAGGGCACCUGGAGGCUGGAAGAUGCCGCCGCAAGGCACACCACCGCCUCCUGGUUAGUGAGAAAGAGAGGGUCAAAAGUUUUGAGGAAUUUGCUUUCCAAUCGCUGCAGUAUGACCGAGUUGUAAACGGUUUCAUUUGUGAUAUCUUUAUGAAAUUUCAACUGUUCACUGUAUUCUGUUUUUGCGCCUUAAAUAAACAUGAUAAUUUCUUAUUAAAUAAAUAAAUUGCUUAUUAAAUAAAGAAAUAAAUAAAUUGCUUAUUAAAUAAAGAAAUAAAUAAAUUGCUUAUUGAAUGAAUAAAUAAAUAUUGCUUAUUGAAUAAAUAAAUAAAUACAUAAAUGCUU